UUGUUGGGGUUGUAGGACACUCUAUACGGAGUUACAAAGGACGACAUUAGACGAAUCAUCUGGAAAGAUGAAUCAAAGAAGGUAAUAAUCCUGUAGUCGAAAAUGUUGUCUCUCUUGAGUGGAUCCUGAGUACGACGGAGCACGUGAAAUUCCGUCGGAAUCUGGGAGGACCAUCUCCUAAGGCUAAAUACUCUCUAGUGACCGAUAGUGAACCAGUACCGUGAGGGAAAGGUGAAAAGCACCCCGGAAGGGGAGUGAAAUAGAACCUGAAACCGUGUGCUUACAAGUAGUCAGAGCCCGUUAAUGGGUGAUGGCGUGCCUUUUGUAGAAUGAACCGGCGAGUUACGAUUUGAUGCAAGGUUAAGCAGUAAAUGUGGAGCCGUAGCGAAAGCGAGUCUGAAUAGGGCGUUUAGUAUUUGGUCGUAGACCCGAAACCAGGUGAUCUACCCUUGGUCAGGUUGAAGUUCAGGUAACACUGAAUGGAGGACCGAACCGACUUACGUUGAAAAGUGAGCGGAUGAACUGAGGGUAGCGGAGAAAUUCCAAUCGAACCUGGAGAUAGCUGGUUCUCUCCGAAAUAGCUUUAGGGCUAGCCUCAAGUGAUGAUUAUUGGAGGUAGAGCACUGUUUGGACGAGGGGCCCCUCUCGGGUUACCGAAUUCAGACAAACUCCGAAUGCCAAUUAAUUUAACUUGGGAGUCAGAACAUGGGUGAUAAGGUCCGUGUUCGAAAGGGAAACAGCCCAGACCACCAGCUAAGGUCCCAAAAUAUAUGUUAAGUGGAAAAGGAUGUGGCGUUGCCCAGACAACUAGGAUGUUGGCUUAGAAGCAGCCAUCAUUUAAAGAGUGCGUAAUAGCUCACUAGUCGAGUGACACUGCGCCGAAAAUGUACCGGGGCUAAACAUAUUACCGAAGCUGUGGAUUGUCCUUUGGACAAUGGUAGGAGAGCGUUCUAAGGGCGUUGAAGCAUGAUCGUAAGGACAUGUGGAGCGCUUAGAAGUGAGAAUGCCGGUGUGAGUAGCGAAAGACGGGUGAGAAUCCCGUCCACCGAUUGACUAAGGUUUCCAGAGGAAGGCUCGUCCGCUCUGGGUUAGUCGGGUCCUAAGCUGAGGCCGACAGGCGUAGGCGAUGGAUAACAGGUUGAUAUUCCUGUACCACCUAUAAUCGUUUUAAUCGAUGGGGGGACGCAGUAGGAUAGGCGAAGCGUGCGAUUGGAUUGCACGUCUAAGCAGUAAGGCUGAGUAUUAGGCAAAUCCGGUACUCGUUAAGGCUGAGCUGUGAUGGGGAGAAGACAUUGUGUCUUCGAGUCGUUGAUUUCACACUGCCGAGAAAAGCCUCUAGAUAGAAAAUAGGUGCCCGUACCGCAAACCGACACAGGUAGUCAAGAUGAGAAUUCUAAGGUGAGCGAGCGAACUCUCGUUAAGGAACUCGGCAAAAUGACCCCGUAACUUCGGGAGAAGGGGUGCUCUUUAGGGUUAACGCCCAGAAGAGCCGCAGUGAAUAGGCCCAAGCGACUGUUUAUCAAAAACACAGGUCUCUGCUAAACCGUAAGGUGAUGUAUAGGGGCUGACGCCUGCCCGGUGCUGGAAGGUUAAGAGGAGUGGUUAGCUUCUGCGAAGCUACGAAUCGAAGCCCCAGUAAACGGCGGCCGUAACUAUAACGGUCCUAAGGUAGCGAAAUUCCUUGUCGGGUAAGUUCCGACCCGCACGAAAGGCGUAACGAUUUGGGCACUGUCUCAACGAGAGACUCGGUGAAAUCAUAGUACCUGUGAAGAUGCAGGUUACCCGCGACAGGACGGAAAGACCCCGUGGAGCUUUACUGUAGCCUGAUAUUGAAAUUCGGCACAGCUUGUACAGGAUAGGUAGGAGCCUUUGAAACGUGAGCGCUAGCUUACGUGGAGGCGCUGGUGGGAUACUACCCUAGCUGUGUUGGCUUUCUAACCCGCACCACUUAUCGUGGUGGGAGACAGUGUCAGGCGGGCAGUUUGACUGGGGCGGUCGCCUCCUAAAAGGUAACGGAGGCGCUCAAAGGUUCCCUCAGAAUGGUUGGAAAUCAUUCAUAGAGUGUAAAGGCAUAAGGGAGCUUGACUGCGAGACCUACAAGUCGAGCAGGGUCGAAAGACGGACUUAGUGAUCCGGUGGUUCCGCAUGGAAGGGCCAUCGCUCAACGGAUAAAAGCUACCCCGGGGAUAACAGGCUUAUCUCCCCCAAGAGUUCACAUCGACGGGGAGGUUUGGCACCUCGAUGUCGGCUCAUCGCAUCCUGGGGCUGUAGUCGGUCCCAAGGGUUGGGCUGUUCGCCCAUUAAAGCGGUACGCGAGCUGGGUUCAGAACGUCGUGAGACAGUUCGGUCCCUAUCCGUCGUGGGCGUAGGAAAUUUGAGAGGAGCUGUCCUUAGUACGAGAGGACCGGGAUGGACAUACCUCUGGUGUACCAGUUGUCGUGCCAACGGCAUAGCUGGGUAGCUAUGUGUGGACGGGAUAAGUGCUGAAAGCAUCUAAGCAUGAAGCCCCCCUCAAGAUGAGAUUUCCCAACUUCGGUUAUAAGAUCCCUCAAAGAUGAUGAGGUUAAUAGGUUCGAGGUGGAAGCAUGGUGACAUGUGGAGCUGACGAAUACUAAUCGAUCGAAGACUUAAUC
rnacentral:rRNA from 1 species